UGGGGAAUAUUGCACAAUGGGGGGAAACCCUGAUGCAGCAACGCCGCGUGAAGGAUGAAGGCCCUUGGGUCGUAAACUUCUGUUCUAAGGGAAGAUAAUGACGGUACCUUAGGAGCAAGUCCCGGCUAACUACGUGCCAGCAGCCGCGGUAAUACGUAGGGGGCAAGCGUUAUCCGGAAUUAUUGGGCGUAAAGCGUGCGUAGGUGGUUUCCUAAGCAUGGGGUAUAAGGCAAUGGCUUAACCAUUGUUCGCCCCAUGAACUGGGUGACUUGAGUUCUGGAGAGGAAAGCGGAAUUCCUAGUGUAGCGGUGAAAUGCGUAGAUAUUAGGAGGAACACCAGUGGCGAAGGCGGCUUUCUGGACAGAUACUGACACUGAGGCACGAAAGUGUGGGGAGCAAACAGGAUUAGAUACCCUGGUAGU
rnacentral:rRNA from 1 species